rnacentral:rRNA from 1 species
AAAACAAUAUAGCAAAGCAGGCGUACAGCAAAAACGGGAAAGGGCAAGCUAAGCAGCGGUAGUGGUUGGAGGUAACCGCGGGUGGGCGUCUCGAGGUGAAGGCGCUCUGGUGCUGGUGAGUGAGCAGUGGGAGGGGUACCGGCGGCCGCACUCGUCCGAAGGCGGCGCAGAGUUGUGCGAACGCCAGAAGAGGAGCGGCUGCGGCUUGGGGAAGCCGGGGUUAUUCGCGCAGCGGUCCAGGUCCGAGUCCGGGGGCGGUUAGAGGUAGAGGUACCUGGGCCGGGAGCAGCUGGGCCGGGUGGAGGUCCGCGAGUACGAGCGGACGCGCGUGAGGACGCGGUAGGCGGAGAGGGGCGGCCUUCGGCGGCGCGCCGGCCUCGGGCAGCUGUAGGCGUUCGAGGCAUGGCGGCACCGCGUGUCGAAGGACCAGCACAGGCAGAAGACGCCCUGGUCCAAGAACCUCCUUCUGCUGCCUCCCCUGCUAGCCGCGAAGUACCCGGACCUCGACCUGGAGCCCGAGCCCGCCGCACCCCUCGUCGCCGAGCAGCCCAAGCCUGCCCGGCAGAGGCUGCACCCCGAGUGGCGGAGGCAGGUACUGCAGCACCAAGUAGGUAGUCACGUCUCCUCUCCUUAACCCGCGUUUUAUGAACUUUUUUAAUGUUCCCAUGAGGUAUCGUCUCCAUAAAUACUGUAAAGGCGUAAUACGUGUCCUUUCCUCUCCGGUAAAAAACUUCGUACACCUAAGCCGCUACUACGUUACCCACGGUGUUGUUACUACAUGUGAUCUUUGAACAUGCUUAUCGUAAGGAUACCUACCAACCGUUAGACGUGUUACUAUGAUGGUGCCGAGGAAAAAACGACCAAUAAUAGACGACGGUGGACUCUUACGGUUGACAUUUCUCUCAAGACGAUAGGUCGUUCACUAAAAUGGGGGAGAAUUGACCUAGGCCGUAGGUACCACGGGGUCGGAAAAAGACAGAAGCUCCUUUGGUGAGCUUAUUUAAUCUCUUUGAACACCUGUGCCAUCAUGUCAAGUGGAAAAAUAGUACACACCUUCUACCGUAAUAAAUCGUACAAGUCUUAGGCCUGGUCGCAAACAUUUAAAUGGCAACUACCAUUUUCGAACGACACGAAUGUCUCUAUUUACAAAUAUGUGCCACAAAAACAGCAGUACCUACAGUCGUGAACUGUUUCUCACUUAGUGUAUUGCCCUUGAAACUAUAUGUCUUUGACAUCUAAACACCUGUCAACCACGACAGUUUUAAAAUAACCAUUAAAAAGGAAGCAGUUCAUUACAACGUCCUAUCUGCUGUCGCAUUUAUUUAG